CCUACGGGAGGCAGCAGUGGGGAAUAUUGCACAAUGGGGGAAACCCUGAUGCAGCGACGCCGCGUGAGUGAAGAAGUAUCUCGGUACGUAAAGCUCUAUCAGCAGGGAAGAAAAUGACGGUACCUGACUAAGAAGCCCCGGCUACCUACGUGCCAGCAGCCGCGGUAAUACGUAGGGGGCAAGCGGUAUCCGGGUUUAUUUGGUGUAAAGGGAGCGUAGACGGCAGCACAAGUCUGGCGUGAAAUCCCGGGGCUUAACCCCGGACCUGCUUUGGAAACUGUGCUGCUGGAGUGCAGGAGGGGUAAGCGGAAUUCCUAGUGUAGCGGUGAAAUGCGUAGAUAUUAGGCGGAACACCGGUGGCGAAGGCGGCUUACUGGACUGUAACUGACGUUGAGGCUCGAAAGCGUGGGGAGCAAACAGGAUUAGAUACCCUAGUAGUC
rnacentral:rRNA from 1 species